rnacentral:rRNA from 1 species
AAGAGUUUGAUCCUGGCUCAGGACGAACGUUGGCGGCGUGCUUAACACAUGCAAGUCGAGCGGUUGAGAGGUGGGAGUUGAGAAGUUAGAAGUGGGAGAAAGUUCUCACCUCUUCUGCCUGUAAGACAGGGAUAACGCCGGGAAACCGGUGCUAAUACCGGAUAACCUCUUUGAAUCGCAUGAUAUGAAGAGAAAAGGUGGCCUCUUUACAAUGCUACCACUUACAGAUGAAUCCGCGUCCCAUUAGCCAGUUGGUGGGGUAAUGGCCUACCAAAGCGACGAUGGGUAGCCGGCCUGAGAGGGUGACCGGCCACACUGGAACUGAGAUACGGUCCAGACUCCUACGGGAGGCAGCAGUGGGGAAUCUUCCGCAAUGGGCGAAAGCCUGACGGAGCAACGCCGCGUGAGCGAAGAAGGUUUUCGGAUUGUAAAGCUCUGUGAUAUUGGACGAACGAUUUCCCGUAAAUAAUGGGAAAGAAUGACGGUACCUACGUGCCAGCAGCCGCGGUAAUACGUAGGUGGCAAACGUUGUCCGGAAUUACUGGGCGUAAAGGGCGAGUAGGUGGUUUAUUAAGUCAGAAGUGAAAACUCCAGGCUCAACUUGGAGACUGCUUCUGAAACUGGUAGACUUGAGUGCAAGAGAGGGAAGUGGAAUUCCUAGUGUAGCGGUGAAAUGCGUAGAUAUUAGGAGGAACACCGGUGGCGAAGGCGGCUAUCUGGACCGAUACUGACGCUGAGACGCGAAAGCGUGGGGAGCAAACAGGAUUAGAUACCCUGGUAGUCCACGCCGUAAACGAUGGGUACUAGGUGUUGCGGGUAUUGACCCCUGCAGUGCCGAAGAACGCAUUAAGCACUCCGCCUGGGGAGUACGGCCGCAAGGUUGAAACUCAAAGGAAUUGACGGGGGCCCGCACAAGCAGCGGAGCAUGUGGUUUAAUUCGAAGCAACGCGAAGAACCUUACCAGAACUUGACAUCGUCUAUCGUCUGAAUUACUCUUAAUCGAGGAAGCCUUUCGGGGCAGAUAGACAGGUGGUGCAUGGUUGUCGUCAGCUCGUGUCGUGAGAUGUUGGGUUAAGUCCCGCAACGAGCGCAACCCUUAUUGCUAGUUGCCAUCAUUAAGUUUGGGCACUCUAGUGAGACUGCCGGAGACAAUUCGGAGGAAGGUGGGGAUGACGUCAAAUCAUCAUGCCCCUUAUGUUCUGGGCUACACACGUGCUACAAUGGCCGGUACAGACGGAAGCGAAGCCGCGAGGUGGAGCAAACCCGAGAAAGCUGGUCUCAGUUCGGAUUGCAGGCUGCAACUCGCCUGCAUGAAGUCGGAAUCGCUAGUAAUCGCGCAUCAGCCAUGGCGCGGUGAAUACGUUCCAGGGNNNNNNNNNNNNNNNNNNNNNNNCCAUGGAAGUUGGGGGGACCCGAAGCCAGUGAUCCUAACCGUAAGGAGGGAGCCGUCGAAGGUGAGAUCAAUGACUGGGGUGAAGUCGUAACAAGGUAACC